rnacentral:rRNA from 1 species
UCAAGUGACUAAGUGCAUGUGGCGGAUGCCUUGGCGAUCACAGGCGAAGAAAGACGCGGCAGCCUGCGAAAAGCUGCGGGGAGCUGGCAAACGAGCUUUGAUCCGCAGAUAUCUGAAUGGGGGAACCCACACCGCAAGGUGUAUCCGUAGCUGAAUACAUAGGUUACGGAGGCGAACGAGGAGAACUGAAACAUCUAAGUAUCCUCAGGAAAAGAAAUCAACCGAGAUUCCGGCAGUAGCGGCGAGCGAACCCGGAGGAGCCUAGCUUUUGAUAGUACGAACUUUAGCCGAAAGGUCCUGGAAAGGCCUGCUAUAGUGGGUGAUAGCCCCGUAGGCGAAAGAGUUGGUACGGUACUAAGGAAGCGAGAAGUAGAGCGGGACACGUGGAAUCCUGUUCGAAGACGGGGGGACCAUCCUCCAAGGCUAAAUACUCGUGAUCGACCGAUAGUGAACCAGUACCGUGAGGGAAAGGCGAAAAGAACCCCGGGAGGGGAGUGAAAUAGAACCUGAAACCGCAUGCAUACAAACAGUAGGAGCCUCGUCAGAGGUGACUGCGUACCUUUUGCAUAAUGGGUCAGCGACUUACAUUCUGUGGCGAGCUUAACCGAAUAGGGGAGGCGCAGCGAAAGCGAGUUCGAAAUGAGCGUUCAGUCGCAGGGUGUAGACCCGAAACCAGAUGAGCUAUCCAUGGCCAGGUUGAAGGUGUGGUAACACACACUGGAGGACCGAACCGACUAGUGUUGCAAAAUUAGCGGAUGAGCUGUGGAUAGGGGUGAAAGGCCAAACAAAUCUGGAGAUAGCUGGUUCUCCCCGAAAACUAUUGAGGUAGUGCCUCGUGUGUCGCUCCAGGGGGUAGAGCACUGUUUUGGCUAGGGGGACAUGGAGUCUUACCAAACCAAGGCAAACUCCGAAUACCUGGAAGCGUAAGCACGGGAGACAGAGCACCGGGUGCUAACGUCCGGACUCAAAAGGGAAACAACCCAGACCGCCGGCUAAGGUCCCCAAUAACAGCUAAGUGGAAAACGAAGUGGAAAGGCCGUGACAACCAGGAAGUUGGCUUAGAAGCAGCCAUCCUUCAAAGAAAGCGUAAUAGCUCACUGGUCGAGUCCUUCUGCGCGGAAGAUGUAACGGGGCUAAGCUGUUAACCGAAGCCGCGGAUGCACUGGUUAUCCAGUGCGUGGUAGGGGAGCGUUCUGUAAGUCUGCGAAGGCGGUUCGAGAGGACUGCUGGAGAUAUCAGAAGUGCGAAUGCUGACAUGAGUAACGUUAAAGCAGGUGAAAAGCCUGCUCGCCGUAAGCCCAAGGAUUCCUGCUCUACGUUCAUCGGAGCAGGGUGAGUCGGCUCCUAAGGUCAGGCCGAAAGGCGUAGCCGAUGGGAAUCAGGUUAAUAUUCCUGAACCUGCGUCAGAUGCGAUGGGGGGACGGAGCAUGGAAGAUCAUCCGGGUGUUGGAAGUCCCGGUUGUUGAGCGUAGGAGGUCUGCAGGCAAAUCCGCAGACGCAUCUCCAAGGCAAAGACACGUGCCGCUACGGCGGCGAAGUGAUCGGAAGUGCUUCCAAGAAAAGCCUCUAAGCACCAGUCUGAUGCGGACCGUACCGCAAACCGACACUGGUGGGCGAGCUGAAUAUGCUCAGGCGCUUGAGAGAACUCGGGAGAAGGAACUCGGCAAAUUGACACCGUAACUUCGGAAGAAGGUGUGCCGUAGUACCGUGAGAGGAGAGACACCUUGAGCGGGAAACGGUCUCAGAGAAUAGGUGGCUGCGACUGUUUAUUAAAAACACAGCACUCUGCAAAGUCGAAAGACGACGUAUAGGGUGUGAUGCCUGCCCGGUGCUGGAAGAUUAAUUGAUGGGGUGAGAGCCCUUGAUCGAAGUCCCAGUAAACGGCGGCCGUAACUAUAACGGUCCUAAGGUAGCGAAAUUCCUUGUC